GAUGAACGCUGGCGGCGUGCCUAAUACAUGCAAGUCGAGCGAACGGACGAGAAGCUUGCUUCUCUGAUGUUAGCGGCGGACGGGUGAGUAACACGUGGAUAACCUACCUAUAAGACUGGGAUAACUUCGGGAAACCGGAGCUAAUACCGGAUAAUAUUUUGAACCGCAUGGUUCAAAAGUGAAAGACGGUCUUGCUGUCACUUAUAGAUGGAUCCGCGCUGCAUUAUCUAGUUGGUAAGGUAACGGCUUACCAAGGCAACGAUGCAUAGCCGACCUGAGAGGGUGAUCGGCCACACUGGAACUGGGACACGGUCCAGACUCCUACGGGAGGCAGCAGUAGGGAAUCUUCCGCAAUGGGCGAAAGCCUGACGGAGCAACGCCGCGUGAGUGAUGAAGGUCUUCGGAUCGUAAAACUCUGUUAUUAGGGAAGAACAUAUGUGUAAGUAACUGUGCACAUCUUGACGGUACCUAAUCAGAAAGCCACGGCUAACUACGUA
rnacentral:rRNA from 1 species